AUUGAACGCUGGCGGCAGGCUUAACACAUGCAAGUCGAGCGGGGGAAGUUGCUUCGGUAAUUGACCUAGCGGCGAACGGGGGAGUAAUACUUAGGAAUCUGCCUAUUAAUGGGGGACAACAUCUCGAAAGGGAUGCUAAUACCGCAUACGCCCUACGGGGGUAAGCAGGGGAUCACUUGUGACCUUGCGUUAAUAGAUGAGCCUAAGUCGGAUUUGCUAGUUGGUGGGGUAAAGGCCUACCAAGGCGACGAUCUGUAGCGGGUCGGAGAGGAUGAUCCGCCACACUGGGACUGAGACACGGCCCAGACUCCUACGGGAGGCAGCAGUGGGGAAUAUUGGACAAUGGGGGGAACCCUGAUCCAGCCAUGCCGCGUGUGUGAAGAAGGCCUUAUGGUUGUAAAGCACUUUAAGCGAGGAGGAGGCUCUUUUGGUUAAUACCCAAGAUGAGUGGACGUUACUCGCAGAAUAAGCACCGGCUAACUCUGUGCCAGCCGCCGCUGUAACAC
rnacentral:rRNA from 1 species